AGUGGGAUAACAGGAUCAAAUGGUGAUUCCAUUCCAAGUUUUCUGAGGAAUCUUCACACUGCUUUCUAUAGUGUUUGUACCAAUUUGCAGUUCCACCAGUAAU
rnacentral:pre_miRNA from 1 species